GAUGAACGCUGGCGGCGUGCCUAAUACAUGCAAGUCGAGCGAACGGACGAGAAGCUUGCUUCUCUGAUGUUAGCGGCGGACGGGUGAGUAACACGUGUAUAACCUACCUAUAAGACUGGGAUAACUUCGGGACACCGGCGCUUAUCCCGGAUAAUCUUCUGAACCGCAUGGUUCAAAAGUGAAAUACGGUCUUGCUGUCUCUUCUAGAUGCUUCCGCGCUGCAUUAGCUAGUUGGUAAGGUAACGGCUUACCAAGGCAACGAUGCCUAGACGACCUGAGAGAGGGAUAGGCGACACGAGAGCGGGGACACGGUCAAGGCGCCUAAGAGAGGCAGCAGAAGGGAAUGUGACGCAAUAGGCGAAAGCAUGACGGAGCGGCGCCGCGUGAGUGAUGAAGGUGUUCGGAUCGUAAAAAUCGGUUAUUGGGGAAGAACAGAUGUGGAAGUAACUGUGCACAUCGUGACGGUAACUAAUCAGAAAGCCACGGCUAACUACGUG
rnacentral:rRNA from 1 species